GUCUCCAAUAGCCAACCUCUUAGAUUUGAAUACAACUUCGUUCCUAUUUUUUCAGAUUAUCAAACAAGAUAACAGAAUUAUCAACUUGACAACAUCUCUUUUAACCUCUGGUCCGCCUAAGGUUCUGUGAACAUUGAGCAGGUCUUGCAAGGAAAAAGCAUAUAUUUGGGGAAUAUGACACCGGAUGGAGAUCAUUUGCCAUAGAACGCUCGCUAUAUAACAAGAAAUCAUAAGGUGUUCCAAUGACUCGUCUGCCUCACCACAUAAUGGACAGGAGAAGGGCGACCCCCACUCUCAAAACCCUAACAACUCACUAAUCUCUCAAAUUGAAGGCUCAAACCAAGUUAAAAUCGAAAAUCGAGCAUAGAUUACUGAUCCCCAUUGCAAGGGGGUUGUAAGAAUAGAGAUGAUAUAGCGUCUUGAUGGAGAAUGUGAAACCCAGGUGUUAAAUUGUUUAAAUAUUGUGUUUUAUUGCGUUUUAGGCGAUUGUGUGUUUCGAAUAUGAUAUCUACGGGGUUUUGUGGUUUCACAGGUUAACCGUCUAAACCGGUAAAGUUAGAGCACGUGUUGAUGAAGCGGAACUAGCAGGGAUGAUAAACAAUGCAAAAGAUAUAAUUCGAUAGAUGUUUUGUGUCUAAAAGAUUGUUUGGAUGCAAAAGGAACGCACACGAACGAAGUCUAGGGGCCGUUAAUUAGUUAAUAAAAUGUUCCAGCCAUGCAAGAAUGUAGCCCACGUUAUGGUUUUGAGGUUUGAGAACACAUGAAAAGGAGUCAGGGAACACGUGAAAAGCAAUAAAAAGAAGAGGCACACGAAGAUCAAUUGUUUUGGAUUGGGCCGAUUGGAAACAAAGUCAAAGACAUCAUCAUUCUUUAUUGAAGGAAGCAGUUCACGUAGACUUCUUGUUGGGCCGAUUGGUGGAGUGACAUUUACGUGGACUGGGGGAAUUUAUUGAAGGGAUUGUUUUGUUGGACCAAGCCCAUCAUAUUUUGUGGAGAUAUUGGGCUGCACAUGUGAGGAUUGGAAGGAAUAUUAGAAAGCAGCCGACAUCAACAUAUAGGGGGGGAUCAUUGACGGCAGUGGGGGGUUUCAACCGUGGUUCAAGCUUGUGAAGAUCAUACAACCGAGAUGAGCGGCUAAAUCUUUCGUCGACACUUCGGGUGAAUGAUUGUGUAAGACACUAUUGAUUUGGUUUAUUGUUUUAUGUAUUGAGUUCGGAUUGUAACCGUGUGACAGACGGUCUUUACUUGCGUUUUUAUAAUUCGUUUGACAAACGAAUCCUGUGU
rnacentral:lncRNA from 1 species